rnacentral:rRNA from 1 species
GACGGAGGAUGCAAGCGUUAUCCGGAAUGAUUGGGCGUAAAGCGUCCGCAGGUGGCAGUUCAAGUCUGCUGUCAAAGACCGGGGCUUAACUUCGGAAAGGCAGUGGAAACUGAACAGCUAGAGUAUGGUAGGGGCAGAGGGAAUUCCUGGUGUAGCGGUGAAAUGCGUAGAGAUCAGGAAGAACACCAGUGGCGAAGGCGGCCGACUGGUCCGGUUCUGACGCUGAGGCGCGAAAGCGUGGGGAGCAAACAGG